rnacentral:rRNA from 1 species
GAUGAACGCUGGCGGCGUGCCUAAUACAUGCAAGUCGAGCGAACAGACGAGGAGCUUGCUCCUCUGACGUUAGCGGCGGACGGGUGAGUAACACGUGGAUAACCUACCUAUAAGACUGGGAUAACUUCGGGAAACCGGAGCUAAUACCGGAGAAUAUAUUGAACCGCAUGGUUCAAUAGUGAAAGACGGUUUUGCUGUCACUUAUAGAUGGAUACGGGCCGCAUUAGCUAGUUGGUAGGGUAACGGCUUACCAAGGCUACGAUGCGUAGACGACGUGCGGGAGGGGUCGCCCACACGGGAGGUUAGACACGGUCCAGAGUCCUACGAGAGGCAGCAGUAGGGUAUCGUCCGCAACGGUCGAAAGCCUGACGGAGCAAGGCCGCGUGAGUUAUGAAGGCGUUCGGAUCGUAAAACUCUGUUAUUAGGGAAGAACAACUGUGUAAGUAACUAUGCACGUCUUGACGGUACCUAAUCAGAAAGCCACGGCUAACUACGUG